UCUUGAGCGCGCGAACCCUUCGUUUAGUAAUUCCUAUUCAUUCAUCUAUAAUCUAUUCUUGUUCUUUCACUAUCCAAGUUAUACGUUUCUGAAACUUCUUAUCUCUUUCCAUUAGAUCAGCGUAAUCUCUUGCACUGUAAGCCAGACUAUAGAGAGAGCUAUGCUCAGUUUCUUUGCGUGAUAGAAUCUGAAAUGAGGAUACCCGCAGUAGAGUCAAAGUGAUCAACAUAGCCUAAAGGAUAACCAAGCUGAAGAGGCAAGUCACGUACCGCGAGGAACCGACAACCAAUGGAGAUGAAAGGUUCUUUAGUGGCGAUCUCGGACAGGCAGACGCAGUGUAAUAUAACCUCCCACUAGAUGAAGCGACGAUUUAAAAUCAUCGCAAGGAGUCAGUGGAUACAGAAAGCAAAUCAAGAUCAUCUGAUGAUAAAUGACUACCGCUGCUCAUAAGCACUUGUAACACCGGAGGAAUUGCAGAUAUGCUGCCAUUUUUUGAAAAAGGAAUAUACCUUUUUCUUGAAGGUUACGGGGUGGUAUUGGUUGGGAAAUAAUGCUAUUGGGAGUUGGCUCCAAACCGUGAUUGUACGUGGAAGAAAUUGAAAACACAUGGAGAAAAACCGCCACUCAAUCUAUUAAAGUAGCUUGUAAUGCAGUAGAAGUAAUAAGUUUAUUUAUAAGAUAUUUAGGUCUAACAGAGUAUGAUGAUGUAUGAGUAUGUUAGAUAUGUCUUGACAUAUUAUAUAACAUACCCGUAAGCCACUUUAUGGGGGGAAGGGGUGUGUGGGCUGAGUUCACCCUUUAAUUGACAUUGUGCCCAUCCCAAGACAUGAAUAGAUCUUUUAGUUAUGUGUAAAGAUGUGUCUGAAAGUACAUAUGCGUUUUUUUAUGGAGCCAGCUUUCCCUCGCAAAAAAUGUGGAGGGAAGUUUUGAAUUAGAACAUACCUAUUUUUACUUAUAUAAUCAUAUUUUUAAAUAAAUUAUGACUGUCCAGUCUCACAUACAUAAAAAUUUUUUCUCGCAAUACUUUCUGAGUGACCUGGUAAAUUGUAAACUGGGUUGACUGACAUGUAGCAUAACUAGUCAAGCAUUCUUGAAAAAAAAAAUAUACGUAAAUAACCUACUCAAGAAAUUUAUAACAAUGAAAUGUAGGCUCAAAUCUCACUAACUACCAUCCUUUUUUAUUUGUACCUGUAUUUACUACUCUAAUUUGAAAACUCAUAUAUUCGUAUAAGUAUGAUAAUCUUGCAUUAUUGUUGGAAAUCUUUUAAAGAAUGUUAAUAGGUACCUACCCGAUAACAGACCACCGUGAUAUAUAUAAAAGGAACACAAUAAGGUAUUAACUGAUUCAGUCGUCACAUUGACAAAAAGCAAAAUCCAUUUGCUCGCCAUUUUUCUCUCGUAUUUUCGUAUUUUUUUCGCAGUCGCAGAACUUUCUCAGUAGAAUAUAAAGGUUUUACCUACCGUUCCGAAACGAAAGGGUUCCGUGGUCCUUAGGGCCCGGAAUCACAAUGAACGUAACAUAAUGAAACUUUUGCCAGUAGCGAUUCUUAGAAAACGUUUACUACUGGGGGUUUUAGUAGGUACUACAGUUACCUAUUAGAUAUGUAAGUAGAUAUUAUUUAUAAAUUUUAGUAAAUAAAUGGUGA